rnacentral:misc_RNA from 1 species
GAUGAAGAACGUAGCGAAAUGCGAUAAGUAGUGUGAAUUGCAGAAUUCAGUGAAUCAUCGAAUCUUUGAACGCACAUUGUGCCCCUUGGUAUUCCAUGGGGCAUGCCUGUUCGAGCGUCAUUUGUACCUUCAAGCCUUGCUUGGUGUUGGGUGUUUGUCUCGCCUCUGCGCGCAGACUCGCCUCAAAACAAUUGGCAGCCGGCGUAUUGAUUUCGGAGCGCAGUACAUCUCGCGCUUUGCACUCAGAACGACGACGUCCAAAAGUACAUUUUUACACUCUUGACCUCGGAUCAGGUAGGGAUACCCGCUGAACUUAAGCAUAUCAAUAAGCUGAGGA